AUUCCAGGAAGAAAUCUGGAACUUAAAGAUGUAGUACCCACCAAUUUUGCAGAUUUUACUGGGGAAGAACUGCAGCAACUCUACUCUGUUUCUCAAGAUGCAGUAAAGUCUUUGCUAGAAAGAAAGCUAGCUACUGAAAAUUCACUUGCUAAUGAUACUGAACAAGACGUCAAGGAUGAACUUGCUGCCGAAUGGGAGAUACUUAAAUUAGAGAUAUCAUCAAUUUUAUCUGUUGCGGAAGCAGUUAAGUUAACCCUUGAUGAGAAACAAAAUCUGCAAUGGACAUUGAUGAACCGAAAAUGGAAGCUCUGGUACUCACAGGAUCUCAGGUUGUUCCUACUGCAUCUUCCGAAGCUUUCGAAGUGCAAGGUCAACCCCCCUCUCAGGAACAAGAAAUAGCAGAAACCAUGGAAGUAGCAGAUCCUGUGACUCCCCAUUCCCCAACUCCAUCUCCCGUUCCCUCCCAUCCAAUUUCUUCCCUUAUUGUGCGCCCUGAGUCUCCGUUUGGUGGAACCUACCCUAUCGAGAAGCUCGAUGAAAACACACUCGAUUCCAAUGCCUCUUUACUGGAUGAUGAAGUAGCUGGUAUUCCGUCUCUUGAAUUAGUCGAAUGUGCAAAAGAAGUAGGCUCACAAACAGGUCAGAGCUUAAGAACUCCCCCACCAGAACAAAAGAGUGUUGGUAUUCAAAUGUCUGAGCCGUCAAGCAUUCCGACCGUAGAUCUCCUUGAUGAAUCCACAGUGACUGAUCCAAUUUUCAAACAGAUUAUGAUCAGUCAGGUAAAAAAUGAAAAUGAUAAUACGAUUCAAAUUUCAACUGUGACCACAUUUCCCGAAGAUCAGAUUGAUAGUGUCAAAAUCGGAUUCGAGCGCAAUCCCGAUCAAACAACAAGCAUUCAGUAUUCUGAGAAAGUACCUUUCGAAGUGGCAAUUGCCGAACCUGGUUGGAGUAAUGUCUCUUUGACUCAUCACUCAGAUGACUCAUCUGUUCUAACUUUAAAGAACACCGGUGCGUUACCAUCCGAAAAUAUCAGAAACGAAGCUGCAAAACAGUUCUCCCUUGUUACAUUAGAAAGUUAUUUAGACACCUCUGAUGCCAAUGAAAAGUCCAAGUACUCUGGUCAAAUAACCUCUGGUUCAGUUGAUUCGGUAGUGUGCACUAAAUUUGAUCAUGCAACACCAGACUCGGAAGGACUGUUGAAUGAAUUAGAACCCUCAGAUUCUGCUGGAAUUGCCACCAAAGUGGAACAAAUCGAAAAAGAAAUCAUGCUCAAAAAUAUUUCUUUUACCGUGUCAGAAAAGUCAGAGGAGCAAUUUAAAAUUUCAGAAGUAUCAAGCAGAAAAUUUACAGAAACAUUGCCAAAAAUUUCAAUCGAGGUUAAAGAACCAAAGGCACCUAAUUAUGAGCCCUCAGCAAAGGAUAAUGAGUCUCAGUCAGAGAUUAGCUUAUCAGAAUCGAAUGAAAACUCAAAAGAAUCUACACCUGUGACAGAGGACAAAGAGAGUAAUGUCAGUUUUAAGGGACCAGAAGAUCAAUCAAGUCAUGUAAAAGCCCAGAAGAAAGUCUUGAGUAAAAAGAAGCAAGUGAUAAAAACUCAAGACAAGGAGGCAACGUCAAGUGCUGCACCUCACUCUGAUGAUACUGCGGAGGAAAUUGUUCCAGAUCCAGACAUGUCAGUGCCCAAGAAGAAGGCCAAUCGAAAAAAAGGUAAAAAGUCCCAAAAGAAUAUUCCACCCCCUCGCGAGGAAGGGCAAAUCUCAACUGCAGAGUUACUAUCCAGUGAGGCGAAGUCAACUCAGGCUGGGCCGGUCAUAACGGAGUGUAGUGCUCAAACAGAAGCUCAAGAAUCAGGUGUAAAAUCCUCUCAAACAGAGGAAACAAAAUCUAGCCCUAGAGACAGCAAAGAUGAUGAGAAAGUUGAUGCUGAUACCCAAACGUCAAAGGCUGGAAGUACCUGUUCUACCCAAACAUCACCUGUUAAAAAACAGUCGGGUAUCGUUCAGACUUCACCAAUCAAAGAAGAACCGAAAGUAAAGAAAGAGCCUAGAAAAUUUGGAGAGGAUACGGCUCCUCCAAACCUUGCACAUGGAUCAAGACAAGAUGAAUUUACAGUCACUAAUACAGUCUCAAUUUUGCAGGAUAAGUCAAAGAGGAAAAGCAAAAAGAGAUCUCGAUCCAAGAAAAGUGUCCCGUAUAUCAAAGAACCUCUAGUCAGCUAUCCAAUUUCGAAAGAUUCCGAUACAGAACAAGAUCCAAAGAGCUUAAGUCCAGACUCAAGCGAACUACAGGAUUCUUGUUUCACAUCGAAAACAUCUGUUAGAAUUAAUCCUGCUACCAGAACAUCAGAAAUCAUAACAGAUAUCUCACGACCAGUCGAUGCCUCCGAAGUUUUUGUGGACACUGUCAUUGAUACCUCCAGGAAACCAUUUAUUUCUAACCAUCCGCAGGAAACUAGGUCGAGAGAAGAUUACGGUAGUCUUCAUUCAGCAGAAAGCUUGUCGUUAGAAGAAGGUCGCUCACUCGAGACCUCUGUAAAUACAGUUGCCAAAGAUUUAGCAAACCCAAAACAAAUCAAUGUUUAUCAUGAGCAUAGUGGCUCUGGAUUGAAAGAAUGGGAAGGUGAUGUCACAAAUUUACAGUUGCUGGAAAGUUUGCCACCCCGAGGAGAACACUCUCCAGGGCCUCCUGAAGAUGUCAGUGCGAAAAUAGAAAACAAUAAUAUUAUUCAGAUUGAUCGCAGACAUCACACAGUUGAAGUUGAGUCUGAAGUCACUGUUCAGAAUGCUGAAUAUGGCUCAGUAGAAGCACCGUUAGGAAGAACUGCUCCUGUAAUGGAAUCUAUUCCUGACAAGUCGAAUCGGCCUGGAAUCGAUCCAAAUCUUGAAAAACAAGAUUCUGUGGCUCUCUAUGAUAAUUGUGGUCGAUUGAAACAAGAUGCUGAUGAGCAAAGUGCAGUAGUGCAAGAUCCAAAGGCCACUCUGUUAAGUUCACAGGCCUCAGUAGAGAGCCUUGAACUGAAGAAAAACACCAUAAAAAAUCUGAUCGAUGCCUUGAAAAUUUGUAAUCAGUUUCAGUUUCUUGGAUGUGAACUUCCAACAUUUCUUUCUGGCCAGCUGCUUGAUGCAAAUGGUGGCAAUGAUCUUGACCAUCAAGAUUUAAAAGAACAUGAUGCUGUAGCAACAUUGUACAAAGAUGUUCAUUGCCUUUUCACAGAAUUACAAAAACUGUACGCUCUGAUCGCUGAAUUGAAGAGUACUCAAGAUGAAGAUGAGAGGAAAUCCAGAGGUAAAAAAAUGGACUCUGCAAUCAAUGAGGUCUGUGAGAAGAAGACCAAGACUUUGAGCCAGAUCAGUUCAUUUGGAGACAAAAUUUCGACUGAUGAUGAAGAAACCCUCAACUCAUUUCUUGAAGAGUUUGAAAAUCAAAUGGAUCUUUUCAAAAACAAUUUGCAUGAGUAUGAAGUGGAACAGACUGAGAAAUCUCUGAAGCAAAAACAAUUUCUGGAUCAGGUGGAUUCAUUGAAGGAGCGUUUGGCAGGUGUCCAAAAUAAAAUUAAAUCUAUUCCUGCCAACAAUUUAACAGACUGUUCUGAGAAUGAAAUUUAUACACUUAAGGAGAUCGAAAAUGAAAUUACAAAGAUUCAGAGGGAUCAGGAAAAUCUACGAGAAGAACAGAUAGCAUGCAUCGAUCCCAGUACAUCAGCACUGAUUGCACUGAAAGAGUUGUCAGAAUCCAUCAAUAAUGUAAAGUAUGAACUAGAACUCAGAAAUGAAGGAACUCUAGAUUCCAUGCUUUCCUCAAAUGAACUGGAAAAGACGGUUAACAGCACAUCAACAAUUCUAAAAGAUGUUGGUAUUGUCAUUCAAUCUUAUGAGCCUGUUUCCAACUCUUCCCAACUUCAGGACAAAAUUGAAGUUUUUGAAGCCCUUCAAAUUCACCUGAAAAAGUGUCUGAACUCUCUAAAUUCUGUGAAAGCUUCAGCCACUCAGGAAAGCAGUCAGCUCCCUGCAGAAUUAGAUGUGGUCGAAAACAACGUUGUGAAAAUGAUAAUGGUGGUAAAAGAUCAGUCUGAUGGAAUGGCUCGUUCUGCAGCUCUGUCAUCGGACUUGGAAUAUCAUCUGGACACUAUCAGCAGCUGGAUUGGAUCAGUCCAGAAGAAGUUGCCAGCAUCAUCAUCACUAACAGCUACAAACUACAAGCAGUUUAUCAGCUUAUACUCUUCGAUACUAGAAGAAAUUCACCCACAUCUUGCAGAUUUACCUUACCUCACUACGCCUAUGGUAGAUUCACAAAAGCAUUGUGACUCAAAAUUAGCUAUAGCAUCUGCUGACCUAGCUUUGCAAGUUUUAGACGUGUUUUACGAGGCGAAAUCGAGUUCACUCAUCCUCCAAUCAUUAGACCAGCUGUGGACACAGUAUAGUGCCAAAUGUGAUGAUGUUGAAAGUUGGUGUGACCAAAUGAACGAGACUAUGGGACUUGUAGAAUCAUUGAAAAAUAUUGCCUAUUGGAAUCUAAUUUCAGAGAGAGAAUUUCAUCGAAACCAACUCGAUGAGGCCAAUUCAGUUCUUCACGACGCCACGAGAAUUUUGUCAGAUGAUGAUGAGGUCUCCCAAAGACAAUUUUUUGCCCAUUUGAUGUCAAAAUGGAACCCAACAGAUUCAGAAUUAUCGGAGAAACUGCAUGGUCCAGAAUUGUUUCGAUCCAGUGUACCUAAUGCCUCAGAUACCGAAACACUUGUUGGUCUAUCGGAAUACCAAGAAAAAUUCAAUGAUUUGAAGUCUUUUGUCGAGCAGUUAUCAACUCCAGCUAAGAAUCAGAGGAGCUGGAAUUUCAAAUUCAGCAGUUAAAGGUAUCCAAAUAUUUUUAGAUUGCUUGACCUAUUCUGUGCCAGUGUGAUCCUUACAGAUCUAUUCUC
rnacentral:lncRNA from 1 species